rnacentral:rRNA from 1 species
CCCGCCUUGGGGAGUACGAUUCGCAAGGGUUGAAAACUCAAAAGGAAAUUGACGGGGACCCCGCCCAAGCGGUGGAGCAUGUUGCUCAAUUCGACGCAACGCGAAGAACCUUACCGGGGCUUGACGUGCACUGGACCGUCAUGGAGACAUGGCUUCCCUUCGGGGCUGGUGCAUUAGGUGCUGCACGGCUGUCGUCAGCUCGUGCCGUGAGGUGUUGGGUUAAGUCCUCUAACGAGCGCAACCCCUAUCCACAGUUGCCAUCAGGUAACGCUGGGCACUCUGCGGAGACUGCCGGUGUCAAGCCGGAGGAAGGUGGGGAUGACGUCAAGUCAGCGUGGCCCUUACGUCCCGGGCUGCAAACGUGCUACAAUGGCUGGUACAAAAGGCUGCAAUGCCGCGAGGUGGAGCAAAUCCUAAAAAACCAGUCUCAGUUCGGAUUGCAGUCUGCAACUCGACUGCAUGAAGUUGGAAUCGCUAGUAAUCGCGGAUCAGCAUGCCGCGGUGAAUACGUUCCCGGGUCUUGUACACACCGCCCGUCAAGUGAUGAAAGCUGGGGGUACCCGAAGUCGUUUGCCCAACCGCAAGGAGGGCGACGCCUAAGGUAAAACCGGUGAUUGGCACUAAGUCGUAACAAGGUAACCAAGGGCGAA